UUCCAAUCCAUCACAUGGAUCAUUUCCAACUCUUGCUUCUAAACAUAUAUAAUCUUAUUAUAAUUUGUUUAGUUAAGUUUGACCCAUUGUUUUAACAAUUGGAUAUUACAAUUAUCCCAUCGCACCUUACUAAUAUAGAGCAUGUACCUCGCGUAGGCGAAACCUACAUUAUCCGAUACUAGUCGUGAUGAGUGUUAAAACUUGGAAAGCAUAAACUUAAUAUUUAAUUUGAGGGGAUUUACAAUUAUUCUGAUCUCACCGGC
rnacentral:lncRNA from 1 species